rnacentral:lncRNA from 1 species
AAAUAAGUAAAAUGGCACUAGAUUGCAAUGCAAGUCAAGUCAAAUAUACGACACAUUUUUGCGUUAUCAGGUUGUUAUUUUUUUGUUGUUUUUUUUUUGAAAUUUAGGUUAAUAUGGUUAUGUUGAUUUACAAGUUUGAUUUAAGAAGAAGUUUGAAAAUUCAAUGGCAUAAGGCCAAGGUUUCUAAUCAUUAAAACAUAUCUAAGUUUGAAAUCACAAAGCAAAGAAAUGUUUUUGAAAAGAGG